GGUGGUUCUCAGGUGACGUACCCUGGAACCAGAGAGGAGGGAGCCUGAUUCUGGGGUGCAUCACCUGAGAACCAUC
rfam:Myotis davidii contig51917, whole genome shotgun sequence.